rnacentral:rRNA from 1 species
AUGCAAGUCGAACGAGAAUGUGUAGCAAUACACAUGUACAGUGGCGAACGGGGGGAAUACAUGGGUAACCUACCCUCGAGUGGGGAAUAACCAGCCGAAAGGUUGGCUAAUACCGCGUACGCUUCCGAGACUGCGGUUUCGGAAGGAAAGCGAUACCGUGGGUAUCGCGCUCUUGGAUGGGCUCAUGCCCUAUCAGCUUGUUGGUGAGGUAACGGCUCACCAAGGCAUCGACGGGUAGCUGAUCUGAGAGGAUGAUCAGCCACACUGGCACUGCGACACGGGCCAGACUCCUACGGGAGGCAGCAGUAAGGAAUAUUGCGCAAUGGGCGAAAGCCUGACGCAGCGACGCCGCGUGGGGGAUGAAGGUCUUCGGAUUGUAAACCCCUUUCGGGAGGGAAGAUGGGAUGGGGUAACCCAUUCGGACGGUACCUCCAGAAGCAGCCACGGCUAACUUCGUGCCAGCAGCCGCGGUAAUACGAAGGUGGCAAGCGUUGUUCGGAUUUACUGGGCGUACAGGGAGCGUAGGCGGUUGGAUAAGCCCUCCGUGAAAUCUCCAGGCUUA